CUGGUGAGCCUAAAUCUCCCUCACAGAGAUGGGGACACCCUGCCCUGGCUGCUAACCCAGCUGCCAACACCUGGACCUGCAGGCAGCCCCGUCCCCACCAAUGCCCAGGGGUGGCAGAGCUCACACACCACUGGAUGGAUGCUCAGAAAAGCUCCAUGGAGACACCUCUGGAAUAAGGGCAGAGGAGGCCUGAUGGUUUAGCUCCCCUUUAAAGACCUGCCUGUGAGUAAUUAAAGCUCCUGUUUCUAAGCUGCUUGGUAUUUUAAUUGAUUUUCUGCACUGGCUGCCCACAGUGUAGUCAUUCAAGCCCGACAUUUGUCUUGCAAGCCCCGAGCGAGCAGCAAAGGAAUAAUGACCUCCCCACAAGUCCUCUGUGGUGGGAACUGGUUUGCACUGGGAAUGCUGCUGCUGGGAGCCCUGAUCUCCACCCUGGAGCAGCCCAGGGCAGGAAGAGCUCCACAGCAUCACUUUGUACCUGUUAUUCCUCUGGGAAUGUCCUCUGGGCUGUCCAGAGGAGAUUGAUCUCCUGCAUGGUCAGGUUCUCAUCAGGAGAAAAGUGGGACCAUGGAAACGGGGAUUGAUGUUGGCAAAGGAGCACGAGACCAUCUCAGGACCUCCCACGCCCUUAUCUCCCUGCAUGCACAUCCAUCAUCUCCAGUUGUUGAGACUCUGAGAUGGUUAUUUGGCUUUUGGAGUGCCGAACCCUUCGCUUAUCUCCUUCCUGCUUCUGUUCUCCACACUUCCAGGCAACGUGGUGAGGAGACCCGCAUUUCCCUGAGAACAAAAGUUCGGGCUCCUGAGCUACUUAUCUGGAGCAAGCUGCUGUAAAUCUCUUGUUUUGACUGAUUCCAGCUUUAUUUGGGCAGGCAGAGCCGAGUGCCUGCAGCCUGGGUGGUUCCUGGAGCAGAACUUGGUCAGUUUUGGAGACCUCUGAGGGCUCCUCUGAGAGCCUGCAGAGAACUUUAUCCCUUCCCACUGUCUAGCACUGCUGGAGCUCAUCCAUCCAUCCUCAGUGGGCUGCCCUUGUCCCUUCCUUGGGUACUGAUACAUCCCAAAGGAUUCUCCCUAAGUGUGCAGAAUGUCACUGUCAUAUUUCCUGAAAAAUCCUCUUUGCCCAGGAUUCUUCUCCUGGGAAGCUGAGAAACCUCAGAGAAAAAUUAAAACAAUAAUUAUCUCAUUUGCUUCUCCUGUGUUUUGCUGCUUUGGAACGUGUUUGGAGAUUGUUUAUCCAACAUGUGGUUGUUCAGUUGGUUUCGUGUGAAUUGGUUUUACUUAAUGAGCAAUCAGGGUCUGGCUGUGUCAGGAAAGGGUCACAAGUUUUCGUUAUUAUCAUUCUUUCUAGCCUUCUGUCUGUAUCCUUUCUGUAUUCUUUGGUGUAGUUUAGUACAGCUAUAGUAUAAUUAUAAUAUACUAUACUAUACUAUAUUAUAAUAAUAUAUAAUAUAAUAUACUAUAAUAAUAUAUACUAUACUACAA
rnacentral:lncRNA from 1 species